GGAAUUUUCCGCAAUGGGCGAAAGCCUGACGGAGCAAGACCGCGUGGGGGAAGAAGGCUCUUGGGUUGUAAACCCCUUUUCUCUGGGAAGAAAGUUGUGAAAGCAACCUGACGGUACCAGAGGAAUCAGCAUCGGCUAACUCCGUGCCAGCAGCCGCGGUAAGACGGAGGAUGCAAGCGUUAUCCGGAAUGAUUGGGCGUAAAGCGUCCGCAGGUGGCAGUUCAAGUCUGCUGUCAAAGACCGGGGCUUAACUUCGGAAAGGCAGUGGAAACUGAACAGCUAGAGUAUGGUAGGGGCAGAGGGAAUUCCUGGUGUAGCGGUGAAAUGCGUAGAGAUCAGGAAGAACAUCGGUGGCGAAGGCGCUCUGCUGGACCAUAACUGACACUCAGGGACGAAAGCUAGGGGAGCGAAUGGGAUUAGAUACCCCAGUAGUCCUAGCCGUAAACGAUGGAUACUAGGGGUUGUGCAGUUCGUACAGUAUCUUAGCUAACGCGUUA
rnacentral:rRNA from 1 species